UCCUGGCGGCUCAAAUGGUAAAAGAAUCUGCCUGUGAUGCAGGAGACCUGGGUUUGAUUCCUGGGUUGGGAA
rnacentral:tRNA from 1 species